CAUAAGCAUAAUCCAGUUGAGAAUACUCCUGUAUACAGUGCAGGUAUCCAUGGAAAAGUAACCAUCCAAUGCCAAACCAUUGUCCAUGUCCAGGAUGAUGGAUCACAAGCGUGGAUGCCACCAGACCAGCCUCCAACAAAAUACCAUAUUGUUGAGAAGAGAGCAACAACACAUACCUGAUAUCCAAGGAGAGAUAAGAAGUCCUUUUUAUUUGUGCUUCUAGAUAUAUGUUCAGUUCUAAGCAUAUGGACACCAAAAAACACCGCACUUAAGAAGUUCAAGAGAUCUCCAAUGCUAGGAGGAGAUCCACUGGAUUCCAGCAUUGCAACUCCUAUGAUGGACAUAAGAGCUCCGAACCAGGUACGGGCAGGAACUACUGCUCCUAACAUACCAUCAAGCAAUGGAACCACAAUUACAGUGAACAUAGAUAUAAAUGAUGCACGCCCAGCAUCCGAUGUCAUCAAUCCAAGUGCCUGCAUUAGGUAUCCUAAACUAACCCAGAAACCCAACUCAAUCCCUGCAUUACGGGUUUUCACAUUGCCUCGUGCUUGCAAUACAAAUGGGAUGAAUGGAAUAGUAGAUACAGCAAAUCGUACAACAGUAAAGGUUGCUGGAUCUAUUAUUGCUUCAACUUCUUUGACAACUGGAAUGUUGCUAGCAUAGACAACAGUGAUGACGUUGAGCAAAAUGAUGCUCCUAACUUUCGUCGAAGUAAACACUAUCCUCCGCCACAAAGAUUUCCUCCCAAACAAGGCCUUAAAACUUAAGGUCCGUUUUUUCUUUUGAGAUCCAUUUGGAUUUCGCUUCCAGAAGACCGAAUUGACCGAAGAGACCUCGUUUUUUGCACCAUUAUCAAAUCCGAUCCAUUUUCUCGACGUCGAAUUACGCAAAUUUAUUGAUUUUGGUAAUGCAGUACCCGAAUUAGAGCUACAAAACGAAGAAGAAGAAGAAGAAG
rnacentral:misc_RNA from 1 species